UCUAACGGUCUCCCAGGUGAGCCAUUUCAGCUUGGUUCCUGAGAAAGCAUCGCCUGGUUGGAACGCCUUUAACUGACCUAUAAACCCAUGCUGAAACCAGGGAUUGAACCAGAGAUGGUGAUGAUAAUAAAUGAAGGUCAAAGGGUUACAUGGUUACACAGUGAAAAUGCUGACACAGAUGGCUACACCAACAACACAUAAACACUAAGGUGACUGGGCGGCCGAGAUGGCACCACAAGUAGACCAGAAAGCGCUGCAGCACGCCACAGCAGAACUACAAAGAGAAACUGAUAUUCUCCCUGGGGGACCAGCGGUUCAGAACCACAGAUGAAAAAGAGUUGGCACGAUCUCCAUGUGGGUUUUUUCCGGCCACUCCAAUUUCCUUGCAUACCAUGAAAAAAAAAUCAAUGGGAGGUUGAUUGAAGAGUCAUCAUCAUCAUCAUCACCAUCUCCUCUUCACUUUUUAAAUAUUCACUAAUUUAUAAAUAACAGAUUUAAACACUUUAACCUUAAAUGAAAACUGUAAAUGAAGUGUGCAGUGCUGUGCAUGAAUGGUUUAACGCUGAA